ensembl:snRNA U5 U5 spliceosomal RNA
AGACACUGGCUUCACUUCAGAUCAUAUAAGUCUUUUGCCUUUUACUAAGGAUUUCCACCAAGAGGAACAGUUCAGAGUCUUAACCCUUUUAUCUGUUUUUGGGUCUUUACUAUAGUGGAGGC